CAGCAGCUCAUAGCUGAUUAGGACUCCCCGUUCCCCGUCUGGCUUGACAGUGCAGAGCUCUGGAACAGAAUAUAUUUCCAUCCUGAAGAACAGUGAAAGCAUGUUGGUCUCCAGGCUUUUGGUGAUUCUGUCUUCACUGUGGCUUGGAUCUGGCAUCGCCCAGAAGGUAACUCAAGCCCAAACAGCAAUACUGGUACAAGAGAAAGAACCUGUGACCCUGGACUGCACAUAUGAGGUCAGUGUUGGGAGUUACAAUCUCUACUGGUAUAAGCAGCCCAGCACUGGGGAGAUGAUCUUCCUUAUUCGUCAGGACUCCUACAGCCAGCACAAUACAACACAAGGCCGCUACUCACUGAACUUCCAGAAGGAAAGGAAAUCCAUCAGCCUUAUCAUCUCCACUUCACAGCUGGGAGACUCAGCUGUGUACUUCUGUGCACUGAAUGAUGACACUGUGAGAGGACUCUUGUAGGGAGUUACACAAAAACCCUCAAAGUCUCUUUGAGACAUCAGCUGCUAGGGGGCCUGAGGUAGAGACUCACUAUGUCUGACAGGAUGUGGAAGGGCUGUGGCAGCACAGCUGUUGGGGUGGAGGGAGAACACCUUGUCUCUGAAGACAUUUCUCCAGGUUCAUAGAGUGUGUCCAGAGUUACCACUCACCCGAACAUUCCAAUCCCUGAACCUUGGACUUGAAGUUAGAUAUACAAAAUUUGUGAGCAAAGACUUAAGGGAACAUAAAGCCACAUUGAAAAAAUGUACCAUUUGUUUAUUAAUUAGGGUCAGAAGAAUUGGAUAAAAAUGUUCCGAACCAUAUGACUGAACAAUUAGUAAGAUUUUUGUGAAUCUUUGGCUCUUCAG